rnacentral:rRNA from 1 species
GCCCUAGUAACGGCGAGUGAAGCGGCAACAGCUCAAAUUUGAAAUCUGGCUCUCUCUUUGGGGGUCCGAGUUGUAAUUUGUAGAGGGUGCUUCGGCGUUGGCCUUGGUCUAAGUUCUUUGGAACAGGACGUCAUAGAGGGUGAGAACCCCGUACGUGGCCAGUGGUCUUCGCCAUGUGAAGCCCCUUCGACGAGUCGAGUUGUUUGGGAAUGCAGCUCUAAAUGGGAGGUAUAUUUCUUCUAAAGCUAAAUACUGGCCAGAGACCGAUAGCGCACAAGUAGAGUGAUCGAAAGAUGAAAAGCACUUUGGAAAGAGAGUUAAAAAGCACGUGAAAUUGUUGAAAGGGAAGCGCUUGCAACCAGACUUGCCUGCAGUUGCUCAUCUAGGCUUUUGCCUGGUGCACUCUUCUGCGGGCAGGCCAGUAUCAGUUCGGGCGGUUGGAUAAAGACGUUGGGAAUGUAGCUCUCCUCGGAGAGUGUUAUAGCCCAGCGUGUAAUACAGCCAGCCUGGACUGAGGUCCGCGCUUCGGCUAGGAUACUGGCGUAAUGGUUGUAAGCGGCCCGUCUUGAAACACGGACCAAGGAGUCUAACAUCUAUGCGAGUGUUUGGGUGUCAAGCCCGGGCGCGUAAUGAAAGUGAACGGAGGUAGGAACCUUCUUGUAAGGCGCACUAUCGACCGAUCCUGAUGUCUUCGGAUGGAUUUGAGUAAGAGCAUAGCUGUUGGGACCCGAAAGAUGGUGAACUAUGCCUGAAUAGGGUGAAGUCAGAGGAAACUCUGAUGGAGGCUCGCAGCGGUUCUGACGUGCAAAUCGAUCGUCAAAUUUGGGCAUAGGGGCGAAAGACUAAUCGAA